AUUGAACGCUGGCGGCAUGCCUUACACAUGCAAGUCGAACGGUAACAGGUUAAGCUGACGAGUGGCGAACGGGUGAGUAAUAUAUCGGAACGUGCCCAGUCGUGGGGGAUAACGUAGCGAAAGCUACGCUAAUACCGCAUACGAUCUACGGAUGAAAGCGGGGGAUCGCAAGACCUCGCGCGAUUGGAGCGGCCGAUAUCAGAUUAGGUAGUUGGUGGGGUAAAGGCUCACCAAGCCAACGAUCUGUAGCUGGUCUGAGAGGACGACCAGCCACACUGGAACUGAGACACGGUCCAGACUCCUACGGGAGGCAGCAGUGGGGAAUUUUGGACAAUGGACGCAAGUCUGAUCCAGCCAUUCCGCGUGCAGGAUGAAGGCCCUCGGGUUGUAAACUGCUUUUGUACGGAACGAAAAGGUCUCUCUUAAUACGGGGGACUCAUGACGGUACCGUAAGAAUAAGCACCGGCUAACUACGUGCCAGCAGCCGCCGUAA
rnacentral:rRNA from 1 species